AUUUGCUUUAACCACACCGAAUUCGAAGGCCUAAAGGGGAGAUUUCUCAAUUUCAUCUUUUUUUUUUUAGUGCUCUGCUUGCUUGGUUUCAUCUUGUGACCUCGCUUCCUCUUCUUGAAGAAGAUGAACAUAUUUACGUCUUCGUCUUCUUCAUUUAGAGGAGGGGAGUGAGGGUGAGACUAAGCUUGGAGAGCAUGAGAUGGGAUGGGAUGAUCUCUUCUUGUGGAGCUUUGUUGUGAGGAAAACUAUGGCCCAUAAUACUGAGAACCCUA
rnacentral:lncRNA from 1 species